GAUGAACGCUGGCGGCGUGCCUAAUACAUGCAAGUCGAGCGAACGGACGAGAAGCUUGCUUCUCUGAUGUUAGCGGCGGACGGGUGAGUAACACGUGGAUAACCUACCUAUAAGACUGGGAUAACUUCGGGAAACCGGAGCUAAUACCGGAUAAUAUUUUGAACCGCAUGGUUCAAAAGUAAAAGACGGUCUUGCUGUCACUUAUAGAUGGGUCCGCGCUGCAUUAGCUAGUUGGUAAGGUAACGGCUUACCAAGGCAACGAUGCAUAGCCGACCUGAGAGGGUGGUCGGCCACACUGGAACUGAGACACGGUCCAGACUCCUACGGGAGGCAGCAGUAGGGAAUCUUCCGCAAUGGGCGAAAGCCUGACGGAGCAACGCCGCGUGAGUGAUGAAGGUCUUCGGAUCGUAAAACUCUGUUAUUAGGGAAGAACAUAUGUGUAAGUAACUGUGCACAUCUUGACGGUACCUAAUCAGAAAGCCACGGCUAACUACGUG
rnacentral:rRNA from 1 species